rnacentral:ncRNA from 1 species
CGUCUUCAGGGCAGGGUGAAAUUCCCGACCGGCGGUAGAGUCCGCGAGCCUGACGCAGCGAUGCGGAGGGCUGACCCGGUGUGAUUCCGGGACCGACAGUACAGUCUGGAUGGAAGAAGAUG